rnacentral:misc_RNA from 1 species
AGGAACCGGAUGCGGGAAAACCGCGCGUUCGAGUCUGUGCGGGGAGGCACUCGGUAACGGGUGUUUCUACCGCGAG